UGCUUUCGAGUAAUCACGCCAUUAGUAUAUACACAAGCAACCUCCAUUGGACGCAUGUUCAGCCAAUCCCUUCCAGCGCCAUGGUAUUUUCUUGGUUUAUUGCCUUACGAUCGAAAAUAUUCUUCAUCUCUUCCACAAUUUCAAUGAAUUCAGCCGUUUCUGGAGGUGUUUUGAGUGGAACGAGAAGGUAAAUUGGAUUGGAUGUUCUUGUGAUGAGUGUUAAAAUUUAUGCGAGUUUUCUCCUAUCUCGUUAAUCAACUUUCACUCGUCUUGAAGAACAAAAUUGGCGAUUUCGGCAUUUCAUAGCUUUGAUCGGCCAUUGUAGAAGGAUUGCAGGAAAAUGAUGUACAUUAAGAGGGUGUUCGGGUUACAGGGUGGUUUUGUUCGGCGUACGAUGGAGAGGUAAGCCUAUAUAUGAUAUGUUGGCCUAUUUAUCAUAUAUUAUAAAUUUGUUAAUCUUACAGGCUAUAUAUACUCGGGAGUCAGGUAUCGACUAUUCACUAAUUUUUGCACUUCACCACUCUGGUCGUCUCUAAUCCGUGAGCCAAGUACUAGAUGU